ensembl:lncRNA
GUCAGCCCCUCCCAGACUGUACUUGGAAGGUGAAGACACUCAUCAUUUGCCAGCAUGUUUCUGAGACUUUAUUUUUCUUCAUUUUCCAAAGAUGAAAACCAAGCAAAAAGCAGAGGCAUCAGUUUUUCUCUACAAGCUGACUUGUAGAAACAUUUGUAGAGACACUCCAACCAAUCCAGUGGAAGCAUUUCCUUUACUUGGAUGGAUGAACUCCAUUCAUUCAAGGAUGGUCAUGGGAACUGUCGGAGCCAAGGAGGUGCAAAGGUACUUUUGGAUUCCUAAUAUGAAAGCCAGUGGACAUGCGUGUUGCUCAGUGAUUCGUCCCUAAGUCCUGCUGAUGAACAGAGACGC